rnacentral:rRNA from 1 species
GGAAUAUUGGUCAAUGGGCUUACGCCUGAACCAGCCAAGUCGCGUGAGGGAAGACUGCCCUAUGGGUUGUAAACCUCUUUUGUCGGGGAACAAAGGCGCCCACGGGUGGGCGGAUGAGUGUACCCGAAGAAAAAGCAUCGGCCAACUCCGUGCCAGCAGCCGCGGUAAUACGGAGGAUGCGAGCGUUAUCCGGAUUUAUUGGGUGUAAAGGGUGCGUAGGCGGAAUGCCAAGUCAGCGGUAAAAUCGCGGGGCUCAACCUCGCUCCGCCGUUGAAACUGGCGUUCUUGGGUGGGCGAGGAGUAUGCGGAAUGCGUGGUGUAGCGGUGAAAUGCAUAGAUAUCACGCAGAACUCCGAUUGCGAAGGCAGCAUACCGGCGCCCAACUGACGCUGAAGCACGAAAGCGUGGGUAUCGAACA